AUUGAACGCUGGCGGCAGGCCUAACACAUGCAAGUCGAACGGUAGCACAGAGAGCUCGCUCUCGGGUGACGAGUGGCGGACGGGUGAGUAACGUCUGGGAAACUGCCCGAUGGAGGGGGAUAACUACUGGAAACGGUAGCUAAUACCGCAUAACGUCGCAAGACCAAAGUGGGGGACCUUCGGGCCUCACACCAUCGGAUGUGCCCAGAUGGGAUUAGCUAGUAGGUGGGGUAAUGGCUCACCUAGGCGACGAUCCCUAGCUGGUCUGAGAGGAUGACCAGCCACACUGGAACUGAGACACGGUCCAGACUCCUACGGGAGGCAGCAGUGGGGAAUAUUGCACGAUGGGCGCAAGCCUGAUGCAGCCAUGCCGCGUGUAUGAAGAAGGCCUUCGGGUUGUAAAGUACUUUCAGCGGGGAGGAAGGCGGUGAAGUUAAUAGCUUCACCGAUUGACGUUACCCGCAGAAGAAGCACCGGCUAACUCCGUGCCAGCCGCCGCAGUAA
rnacentral:rRNA from 1 species